rnacentral:rRNA from 1 species
UUAAACGGAGAGUUUGAUCCUGGCUCAGGACGAACGCUGGCGGCGCGCUUAACACAUGCAAGUCGUGCGAUACUUCGAGCGAGUCUUACGACAAGCUCAAGGUAGAGCGGCGGACGGGUGAGUAACACGUGAGUGGCUGUCCUAAGGAGGGGGAUAACGCCUGGAAACGGGUGCUAAAACCCCAUAUGCCUCGCAAGAGGUGAAAGUGUAUUACUACAGCCUUAGGGUGUGCUCGCGGCCUAUCAGCUAGUUGGUGAGGUAAUGGCUCACCAAGGCUAAGACGGGUAGCCGGCCUGAGAGGGUGUACGGCCACAC